rnacentral:rRNA from 1 species
UGAAUACGAGAUGCUACGGCGUCGAAGCAGUCUAUGUCAUACUUCCAAGAAAAGCUUGCACUGUCAUAAACAAAUAAUGCCUGUACCAUAACCGACACAGGUGGGUAGGUAGAGUAUACUAAGGGGCGCGAGAUAACUCUCUCUAAGGAACUCGGCAAAAUGACUCCGUAACUUCGGGAGAAGGAGUGCCUUAUUUAUAAGGUUGCAAUAACAAGAUCCAAGCAACUGUUUACCAAAAACACAGGUCUCCGCUAAGUCGUAAGACGAUGUAUGGGGGCUGACGCCUGCCCAGUGCCAGAAGGUUAAAGAAGUUGGUUAGCAUCCGCGAAGCUGAUAACUGAAGCCCUGGUGAACGGCGGCCGUAACAAUAACGGUCCUAAGGUAGCGAAAUUCCUUGUCGGGUAAGUUCCGACCCGCACGAAAGGCGUAAUGAUUUGGAUACUGUCUCGGAGAGGGGCUCGGUGAAAUAGACUUGUCUGUGAAGAUGCGGACUACCUGCACCAGGACAGAAAGACCCUAUGAAGCUUUACUGUAACCUGAAAUUGAAAUUGGACUUUACUUGCGCAGUAUAGGUGGGAGGCGUUGAGAAUAUUCUUGCGGGAUUAUUGGAGCCAUCAGUGAGAUACCACUCUUGUAAUGUUAGAUUUCUAACUUUGUAUCAUUAUCUGGUCAAAGAACAGUUUCAGGCGGGCAGUUUGACUGGGGCGGUCGCCUCCUAAACGGUAACGGAGGCGCACAAAGGUUUCCUCUGAACGGGUAGAAAUCGUAUCUAGAGUGUAAAGGCAUAAGGAAGCUUGACUGUGAGACCUACAAGUCGAGCAGGGACGAAAGUCGGUCUUAGUGAUCUGACGGUGCUGAGUGGAAAGGCCGUCACUCAACGGAUAAAAGUUACUCUAAGGAUAACAGGCUGAUCUCCCCCAAGAGUUCACAUCGACGGGGAGGUUUGGCACCUCGAUGUCGGCUCAUCGCAUCCUGGGGCGGUAGUACGUCCCAAGGGUUGGGCUGUUCGCCCAUGAAAGCGGUACGCGAGCUGGGUUCAGAACGUCGUGAGACAGUUCGGUCCAUAUCCGGUGUAGGCGUUAGAAUAUUGAGAGGAGCCUUCUUUAGUACGAGAGGACCGAGAAGGACAUACCUCUGGUGUACCAGUUAUCGUGCCAACGGUAAACGCUGGGUAGCUAUGUGUGGAGUGGAUAACCGCUGAAAGCAUCUAAGUGGGAAGCCCACCUCAAGAUGAGUGCUCUCACAGGGUUAACCUGGUAAGGUCACGGGCAGACCACCCGUUAAUAGGCACUAGGUGGAAGUCCAGUAAUGGAUGGAGCCAAGGUGUACUAGCAGACC